AGCAGCUAAAUGCUGUUCACCAGCUAGAUAGUCACUAACUUUGUCUGUCUGUUGUUUAGUACUGGACAGGUAGUGUUGUUAGAGCUUUUUUCCCUUUUGUCAAUGGAAGCAGCUGACAGCUAAAAACAAUGCUAUGUGAGACUGAAUCAAAAAAGUAAAGUUGUGGGCUGGAAAAUCACAAAAAUAAGUUGAAAGAUUCUUAAUGCUCCUAACAGUAGAGAUGAAGGGGAAAUACAGAAACAGCCUCUAUGGGUCUGUCACUAUAAACAACCCCUUUAAAUACAAAUAGUCAUGCGAUCCAUUGUUAAUAUAAAAGUGUUGAUUAUAUCAUAUUUAAAUGUUGUUAUUUUUUCCACCCAGUAGUCUUUGUCAGCCAUAGACAUGCCGUCACGUCAGCCGUGUCAUGUUACAGCUGUACCAUUCCUAGUGUUUCUCUCUGUCCCCUGUUGUUUCUCCUCCUUUGUGUAUAUGUGUGUGUGUAUGCUGUGGGGCGUGGCCUCCAAGGAACUGCCAAUCAGCAGCUGACACACCUGCGACACAUCUACUGCUGCUCACCUGUUCUCCAUCCACAGUCACACCUGACAGUAUAUCUACCCGGCUCUUCUCACCAGUCUUCGCCAGAUCGUCUGUUUACCUCAGUGGUUCGUGUCACCUGCCAAAGCCGGUGGGCUUUCCACAGCUCUCUCCCGCCUUACCUCGGACCACUGUUCCUGCCUCAGCCUGCCUGCUCUCCUCAGCCUCGUGUCGGUCUGCUGUCUGCCUCCAGUCUACCGGCUUCCAGCAUUACCUCCACACUCCUGGUUCCUCAUUGUGUUUUCCUCUAAAUAAACAGAACCAACUACUUCA